rnacentral:rRNA from 1 species
GAUCAUGGCUCAGGAUGAACGCUGGCGGCGUGCCUAACACAUGCAAGUCGAGCGAUCUUCUUCGGAAGAGAGCGGCGGACGGGUGAGUAACGCGUGGGUAACCUGCCCUGUACACACGGAUAACAUACCGAAAGGUAUGCUAAUACGAGAUAAUAUGCUUUUAUCGCAUGGUAGAAGUAUCAAAGCUCUGGCGGUACAGGAUGGACCCGCGUCUGAUUAGCUAGUUGGUG